rnacentral:misc_RNA from 1 species
GUUCCGUAGGUGAACCUGCGGAAGGAUCAUUAUUGUAUAACCGAGGUGCGAGGGCUGUCGCUGACCCGAAAGGUCGUGCACGCCCGAGUGCCCUCACACACAUCCAUCUCACCCCUAUGUGCACCACCGCGUGGGUCCCCCUUUGGCUUGUUCGGAGGUGGGCUUACGUUUUCACACAAACUUUGUAUGCAGUGUAGAAUGUAUUUUUUGUUUUUGCGAUCACGCAAUCAAUACAACUUUCAACAACGGAUCUCUUGGCUCUC